GGCAGCAGUGGGGAAUAUUGCACAAUGGGCGCAAGCCUGAUGCAGCCAUGCCGCGUGUAUGAAGAAGGCCUUCGGGUUGUAAAGUACUUUCAGCGGGGAGGAAGGCGUUGAGGUUAAUAACCUCAGCGAUUGACGUUACCCGCAGAAGAAGCACCGGCUAACUCCGUGCCAGCAGCCGCGGUAAUACGGAGGGUGCAAGCGUUAAUCGGAAUUACUGGGCGUAAAGCGCACGCAGGCGGUCUGUCAAGUCGGAUG
rnacentral:rRNA from 1 species